GCCCGGAUAGCUCAGUCGGUAGAGCAUUGGACUUUUAAUCCAAGGGUCCAGGGUUCAAGUCCCUGU
rnacentral:tRNA from 1 species